CGGGUACGUUAAUAGCGUAUUCGUUUGACGUUAGCGACAGAAGAAAGCACCGGCUAACUCCGUGCCAGCAGCCGCGGUAAUACGGAGGGUGCGAGCGUUAAUCGGAAUUACUGGGCGUAAAGCGCAUGCAGGUGGUUUGUUAAGUCAGAUGUGAAAGACCCGGGGCGUCAACCUCGGAAUAGCAUUUGUAAACUAGGCAGACUAGAGUACUGUAGAGGGGGGUAGGAAUUUCUAGGUGUAGCGGUGAAAUAGCGUAGAGAUCUGAAGGAAUACCGGUGGCGAAGGCGGCCCCCUCGGACAGAUACUGACACUCAGAUGCGAAAGCGUGGGGAGCAAACAGGAUUAGAUACCCUGGUAG
rnacentral:rRNA from 1 species